GAUGAACGCUGGCGGCGUGCCUAAUACAUGCAAGUCGAGCGAACAGACGAGGAGCUUGCUCCUCUGACUUUAGCGGCGGACGGGUGAGUAACACGUGGAUAACCUACCUUUAAGACUGGGAUAACUUCGGGAAACCGGAGCUAAUACCGGAUAAUAUAUUGAACCGCAUGGUUCAAUAGUGAAAGACGGUUUUGCUGUCACUUAUAGAUGGAUCCGCGCCGCAUUAGCUAGUUGGUAAGGUAACGGCUUACCAAGGCAACGAUGCGUAGCCGACCUGAGAGGGUGAUCGGCCACACUGGAACUGAGACACGGUCCAGACUCCUACGGGAGGCAGCAGUAGGGAAUCUUCCGCAAUGGGCGAAAGCCUGACGGAGCAACGCCGCGUGAGUGAUGAAGGUCUUCGGAUCGUAAAACUCUGUUAUUAGGGAAGAACAAAUGUGUAAGUAACUAUGCACGUCUUGACGGUACCUAAUCAGAAAGCCACGGCUAACUACGUG
rnacentral:rRNA from 1 species